rnacentral:rRNA from 1 species
CCCUUAGAUGUUCUGGGCCGCACGCGCGCUACACUGAUGCAUUCAACGAGUCUAAAACCUGCUCUGAUAGGGGUGGGUAAUCUUUUGAAUGUGCAUCGUGAUUGGGAUAGAUGAUUGCAAUUUUUCAUCUUCAACGAGGAAUGCCUAGUAAACGCAAGUCAUCAGCUUGCAUUGAUUACGUCCCUGCCCUUUGUACACACCGCCCGUCGCUCCUACCGAUUGAAUGAUCCGAUGAAUAUCAUGGAUUGAGGAUUAUAGCAGGUUCGCCUGUCUUGAUCUUCGAGAAGUGAAGUAAAUCUUACCAUUUAGAGGAAGGAGAAGUCGUAACA